UGCCAGCCGCCGCGGUAAUACGGAGGGUGCAAGCGUUAAUCGGAAUUAUUGGGCGUAAAGCGCACGCAGGCGGCUUGUUAAGUCAGAUGUGAAAGCCCCGGGCUCAACCUGGGAACUGCAUUUGAAACUGACAAGCUAGAGUCUUGUAGAGGGGGGUAGAAUUCCAGGUGUAGCGGUGAAAUGCGUAGAGAUCUGGAGGAAUACCGGUGGCGAAGGCGGCCCCCUGGACAGAGACUGACGCUCAGGUGCGAAAGCGUGGGGAGCAAACAGGAUUAGAUA
rnacentral:rRNA from 1 species